rnacentral:rRNA from 2 species
ACUUAAAUUGAAGAGUUUGAUCAUGGCUCAGAUUGAACGCUGGCGGCAGGCCUAACACAUGCAAGUCGAGCGGUAGCACAGAGAGCUUGCUCUCGGGUGACGAGCGGCGGACGGGUGAGUAAUGUCUGGGAAACUGCCUGAUGGAGGGGGAUAACUACUGGAAACGGUAGCUAAUACCGCAUAACGUCGCAAGACCAAAGUGGGGGACCUUCGGGCCUCAUGCCAUCAGAUGUGCCCAGAUGGGAUUAGCUAGUAGGUGGGGUAACGGCUCACCUAGGCGACGAUCCCUAGCUGGUCUGAGAGGAUGACCAGCCACACUGGAACUGAGACACGGUCCAGACUCCUACGGGAGGCAGCAGUGGGGAAUAUUGCACAAUGGGCGCAAGCCUGAUGCAGCCAUGCCGCGUGUGUGAAGAAGGCCUUCGGGUUGUAAAGCACUUUCAGCGGGGAGGAAGGCGAUAAGGUUAAUAACCUUGUCGAUUGACGUUACCCGCAGAAGAAGCACCGGCUAACUCCGUGCCAGCAGCCGCGGUAAUACGGAGGGUGCAAGCGUUAAUCGGAAUUACUGGGCGUAAAGCGCACGCAGGCGGUCUGUCAAGUCGGAUGUGAAAUCCCCGGGCUCAACCUGGGAACUGCAUUCGAAACUGGCAGGCUAGAGUCUUGUAGAGGGGGGUAGAAUUCCAGGUGUAGCGGUGAAAUGCGUAGAGAUCUGGAGGAAUACCGGUGGCGAAGGCGGCCCCCUGGACAAAGACUGACGCUCAGGUGCGAAAGCGUGGGGAGCAAACAGGAUUAGAUACCCUGGUAGUCCACGCCGUAAACGAUGUCGAUUUGGAGGUUGUGCCCUUGAGGCGUGGCUUCCGGAGCUAACGCGUUAAAUCGACCGCCUGGGGAGUACGGCCGCAAGGUUAAAACUCAAAUGAAUUGACGGGGGCCCGCACAAGCGGUGGAGCAUGUGGUUUAAUUCGAUGCAACGCGAAGAACCUUACCUGGUCUUGACAUCCACAGAACUUAGCAGAGAUGCUUUGGUGCCUUCGGGAACUGUGAGACAGGUGCUGCAUGGCUGUCGUCAGCUCGUGUUGUGAAAUGUUGGGUUAAGUCCCGCAACGAGCGCAACCCUUAUCCUUUGUUGCCAGCGGUCCGGCCGGGAACUCAAAGGAGACUGCCAGUGAUAAACUGGAGGAAGGUGGGGAUGACGUCAAGUCAUCAUGGCCCUUACGACCAGGGCUACACACGUGCUACAAUGGCAUAUACAAAGAGAAGCGACCUCGCGAGAGCAAGCGGACCUCAUAAAGUAUGUCGUAGUCCGGAUUGGAGUCUGCAACUCGACUCCAUGAAGUCGGAAUCGCUAGUAAUCGUAGAUCAGAAUGCUACGGUGAAUACGUUCCCGGGCCUUGUACACACCGCCCGUCACACCAUGGGAGUGGGUUGCAAAAGAAGUAGGUAGCUUAACCUUCGGGAGGGCGCUUACCACUUUGUGAUUCAUGACUGGGGUGAAGUCGUAACAAGGUAACCGUAGGGGAACCUGCGGUUGGAUCACCUCCUUACCUUAAAGAA